AGCAUCUUACUAACUGGGAGUUGAGGACCAACCUCUGACCCUUUGUCUUAAAGGUUUGAGAAUAGAUAAUUUGGAAGAAUACCAGCUUGUUUCCAGAUGGCUGAAUGCCUGAUGCUCCUUUAUGUUGAGCUGUCAUUCAAAUAUGAAUGCUAUGGUGAUUGAUCCCGAUUACUGGGUGAAGAUUCAUCACCUGGAAUACACAGAUGGGGGAAUUUUGGACCCAGAUGAUGUCUUAGCAGAUGUUGCUGAAGACAAAGAUAAGAUGGUGUUCUAGUAGUUACUCUCUUUUUGUGAAAUUGAACAGUAGCUGGGAGAGCUUGUGUGGAUUUGUUAUUUUUGUUUGGCCUAAUUCUGCUUUUGAAGCAUGAUCACCUAUUACAUUUCUGUAAGGCUAUUUAUUGAAAUGAAAGUAUGCGUAUAGAAUCUGUGGUUUUUGAGGUUCAAAUUGACGAUAAAAUCAAAGUUAAAAAAAUGCAUUGGCAUAGCACUAUCUGUUUUAACUUCAUCGAUUUGAAAGUAGCAAAAUAGGAAUACUAUGGAGAUUAAAAAAAAAAAGACGACAGGCUUUCUUUGCCUUGCGGUUGAAGAAAUGGUCAGUGGUAUUGUGAAACAAAAUGCGAAAUAGCUUUGAGCUUAAUAGAUAAAGAUGUGUGAUUUUUAGCUCUGAGAACUACGUUAGAAUGUGUCUUUUUUUAGGAUUGUUCUAAUAUUUAUUUUUGCUAUACAUAUCAAUAAAAUCAGCAAGGUCAUUACUCCCAAUAUGCACAAUAAGUUAUUGCCUGAGAAUUUCACAACGUUUUAGGUAGUAUUUAAUAUAUACAGAAACUUGGACAGAGGGAGAAAGAAAUAGUUUCUCUGAUUAAACUAAGAAUAUACAUUCCAAAGAAAACCAAGAGUAAAACACCAGGAACAAGUAGCCAAAAAUUAAUUUAAUUUGAGAGCUUUGAAGACCACAAAAAUGCUUUGGCGAGAGAAAGAAACUAUCCUUUGGUGGAAUUGACUGCAAACCAGAACCUUUGGAAGCUGUGUAGGAGAAAGAGGGAUGAAGACGGCUGCUGAAGGAUAUAAAUUCAUCGAAGAAAAACCUGUAAUGAUAGUUCACUGAGAGUUUAUUGGAGACCCCAUUACCUAACUAGGAACCAUUCGUCAUCAUCAUCAUCAUCAUCAUCAUCAUCAUCAUCAUCAGUCAAUAAGUGGCAUUUAUUAAAUGUUUCCUGUGAACACAGCACUGUAUUAGACACUUGGGAAGAUACAAUAGAAUUAGCAGGUGAUAGUCACGCCUUCAAGGAACUGAUUAUCUAGGGGUCAAAUGAAUGAAUGAAUGAGUUGUAUUUAUUGACCACUUACCAUGGCAGAGCACUGUAUUAAGUGCUUGGGAGAACAAUACAUUAGAUUUGGUUAACACCAUUCCUGCCCUCAAGGAGCUUUAACUCAGGGAGAGGAACUUACACAACGAUUUGAAAAUGUCUUAAGGUUUGCGGUUCAUUUUGAAUUCAUUCAUUCACUCAGUCGUAUUUAUUGAGUGCUUACCAUGUGCAGAGCCCUGUACUAUUCAUUCAUUCAAUAGUAUUUAUUGAGCGCUUACUAUGUGCAGAGCACUGUACUAAGCGCUUGGGAUGAACAAGUCGGCAACAGAUAGAGACAGUCCCUGCCGUUUGACGGGCUUACAGUCUAAUCGGGGGAGACGGACAGACGAGAACAAUGGCACUAAACAGCGUCAAGGGGAAGAACAUCUCGUAAAAACAAUGGCAACUAAAUAGAAUCGAGGCGAUGUACAAUUCAUUAACAAAAUAAAUAGGGUAACGAAAAUAUAUACAGUUGAGCGGACGAGUACAGUGCUGUGGGGAU
rnacentral:lncRNA from 1 species